GUGCCAGCCGCCGCGGUAAUACCAGCUCUCCGAGUGGUGUGGACGUUUAUUGGGCCUAAAGCAUCCGUAGCUGGCUGAACAAGUCCCCUGUUAAACCCACCGAUUUAAUCGUUGGUCUGCGGGGGAUACUGCUCGGCUAGGGGACGAGAGAGGCAGACGGUAUUCCCGGGGUAGGGGUGAAAUCCUAUAAUCCCGAGAAGACCACCAGUGGCGAAGGCUGUCUGCUAGAACGCGCCCGACGGUGAGGGAUGAAAGCUGGGGGAGCGAACCGGAUUAGAAACCCUUGUAGUCC
rnacentral:rRNA from 1 species